rnacentral:rRNA from 1 species
AGUGAACGCUGGCGGUAGGCCUAACACAUGCAAGUCGAACGGCAGCACAGUAAGAGCUUGCUCUUACGGGUGGCGAGUGGCGGACGGGUGAGGAAUACAUCGGAAUCUACUUUUCGUGGGGGAUAACGUAGGGAAACUUACGCUAAUACCGCAUACGACCUACGGGUGAAAGCAAGGGAUCUUCGGACCUUGCGCGAUUGAAUGAGCCGAUGUCGGAUUAGCUAGUUGGCGGGGUAAAGGCCCACCAAGGCGACGAUCCGUAGCUGGUCUGAGAGGAUGAUCAGCCACACUGGAACUGAGACACGGUCCAGACUCCUACGGGAGGCAGCAGUGGGGAAUAUUGGACAAUGGGCGCAAGCCUGAUCCAGCCAUACCGCGUGGGUGAAGAAGGCCUUCGGGUUGUAAAGCCCUUUUGUUGGGAAAGAAAAGCAGCAGGUUAAUACCCCGCUGUUCUGACGGUACCCAAAGAAUAAGCACCGGCUAACUUCGUG